rnacentral:RNase_P_RNA from 1 species
CGAGUAUAUCGCCUUAUCGCUGAGACUUAUACCGUCUUGGAGGAAAGUCCGAACACCGUAGUGCAAGCAUAGUGGUUAACAGCCACCGUUCGUGAGGGCAGGAAAAGUGCAACAGAAAGAAUGUACAGGUCAUGCUGUAGUGAAACCAGGUAAACUCUAUGCGGUGAAAUACCAUGUAUACCAAUGUCCCGAUGCGUCGGGAGAGGGCGGCACGUCCGAUUGUUGGAGGGUAGGUAGCUAAAGUCUGCUGGCAACAGUAGACUCAGAUAAAUGAUAAGGGUCAAGACAUUUAUCGUCUUGAUACAGGAUUCGGCUUAUAGAUAUACUCCAUUA